CUGGCGGCGUGCUUAACACAUAGCAAGUCGAACGCGAAAGGGACUUCGGUCCUGAGUAAAGUGGCGCACGGGUGAGUAACGCGUAGAUAACCUGUCUUCAUGUCUGGAAUAAUACGCCGAAAGGGGUACUAAUACCGGAUAUUCUUGCUUUUCAUAAGUUAUGCAAGCAAAGGUGGCCUCUGCAUAUGCUACUGCAUGAAGAGGGGUCUGCGUACCAUUAGCUAGUAGGUGGGGUAAUGGCCUACCUAGGCGACGAUGGUUAGCGGGUCUGAGAGGAUGAUCCGCCACACUGGCACUGGAACACGGGCCAGACUCCUACGGGAGGCAGCAGUGAGGAAUAUUGCGCAAUGGGGGAAACCCUGACGCAGCGACGCCGCGUGAGUGAGGAAGGCCUUCGGGUCGUAAAGCUCUGUCAAAAGGAAAGAAGUGUACAAUGGCUAAUACCUGUUGUAUUUGACGGUACCUCUAAAGGAAGCACCGGCUAACUCCGUGCCAGCCGCUGC
rnacentral:rRNA from 1 species